CACAUUUGGCAGCCGUGUGUAAGACAGAAUGAGAUGGGGAGCAUCUAGAAACCAGGAGUCCAUUUAAAAAGCCAUCACAGUAGUCCAGGAUAUGAGAGCCCAAACUUUUAUGGGACAAUACGCACCUAUCUUCUGGGGUUGGCGUGAUGAUGAAAUAAGAACAUCUGUAAAGAGUCGGCACAUAGUAUACGCCAAUCCCUUCAUUUCACUGAGAAGGAAACUGAGGCACAGACUAAUGGAGUAAUUUGUUCAAAGUCCCAAAGGC
rnacentral:lncRNA from 1 species